UACGAAGGGGGCUAGCGUUGCUCGGAAUUACUGGGCGUAAAGCGCGCGUAGGCGGCUUUUCAAGUCAGACGUGAAAGCCCCAGGCUUAACCUGGGAAUUGCGUUUGAUACUGUUAAGCUAGAGUGUGGAAGGGGCUACUGGAAUUCCGUGUGUAGCGGUGAAAUGCGUAGAGAUCGGGAGGAACACCUGUGGCGAAGGCGGCCGACUGGGCCGACCCUGACGCUGAGGCGCGAAGGCGUGGGGAGCGAACGGG
rnacentral:rRNA from 1 species